rnacentral:lncRNA from 1 species
UGCCAAUCUUCUUUCUUUUAUUCUUCUUCUCCCCAAAGCCCCCCCAGUACAUAGUUGUAAAUUCCAGGUGUAGGUCCUUCUGGCUGUGCUAUGUGGGAAGCCACCUCAGCAUGGCCUGAGUGGUGCCAUGUCCGUGCCCAGGAUCCAAACCGCCGAAACCCUUGGCAGCCAAAGUGGAGCACAUGAACUUAACCACCCAGCUACGGGGGCAGCACCAAAGGAUACAUUCCACAGUUGCCUGCACGUUUGGGAUCUGGUAACAGGACCACAAGAAAACUCUUGCAGCAAACUGAAGGUUUCUAUUUCAGAUCCUUCCACCACCUUCACCACCAUCAUUUCCAUAAUCCACCACCACCAUCACCACUAUCAUCACUACUACCUUCAUCACCACCUCUCAAUACCUCCAUCAUCACCACCCACCAUCAUCACCUCCACCACCAUGAGCACCACAUCUACCAUCAAAAAA